CACUGCGGUGCUUCUAAUCUCAAAGCAAACACCGGACAGCCUGCUGUUUUCCUGUGAGUCAUGCCGGCCGCUGCCCUCCAUUUUACCCCCUUCUUUCUUCAUCGGGGUAACAUGUUCAGGUCUCCUGGACAGAGUCUGGCCUCAUGUCCUCAUGUGGAGAUUUUGAAGCUGCACUGAGCCUGACAGGAUAAAAGCUAAUCAUACAGUUGUCUUUAAGCUUUUGAGGAUCUUUGGUUGGAGCUCCACCUUUUUCCCGCUCAGCCCAUUGGGUUCCUCAGGCAGAGAGGAGUAAUGUUUAUGACGUUAGCCCCAUCGUGUGACGUGACAGAACUGCUAAAGAAAUCAAUCAUACCUGUCCUGAGGAACACGCUCUCAAAGAUGCAUUUCUAUUAGGCCUGAAAAAUAGAGCAAAAAAUGUGUUGUCAUUGCAAUAGAGUAAUGACUCUCAAAAUGUAUUAUAUAUAAAAAUAUUUGAGACUAUAGAAAGGCAAGCUAAUCCACAGUCGACCCUGAACUGUAGGUGUGUUUACUUGUAGUCUGUCUUGUUCUGGGUUGUACUGAAACUAAUCAUAUUUCCCCUCGUGGGAAAAUGUUUAUUCUAUUCUAUUCUAGUCUGGUCUGGUCUGGUUUGGUUUGGUUUAUUCAGCGGAGCUGCCAUCAGUGAGUGAAUGUGAUAGAAAGUCAUUUACAGAAGUAUACUGCCGUGCAUCCAGUCCCACAGACUUCAUAAAUGGCGGCAAACGCAGGAAGUUGGGGGCUGCUGGAGACGGAACCCGCUUGCCAGAUCUCACAGCUGAAGCUCAUUGACUGACUGACAGAUUUUAUGUCUCCAUACUACAGGAAGUGAUGUCGUUUCAGCCGUAUCAGGUGACUCUUUACAUUUUCAAUAGAUGUGUCCCAAGCAGCACACUGAGUUCACAGAAAGCAUUUGUCAUUCCUGCACUUCAAUCAGGGUUUUCCUCUGUGUCUGGGACAGCUUCAUACUUUACCUCUGCAGACACAAAGCUGUUGGAACUCAAAGCCAGGUUUUUCUCUGAUGUGGUCUGGGGACAGAUGGACUUCCACCUCUUGUUUGGUCUUAUUGUGGUUCGUCAAACACGUUUAAGGCUUUUGGUUCCUCGAGCGUUCCCGUGAGGAAGACGCUGCUUCACUUUUCAGGAAAACCAGAGCUCCUUUUUUGAUUCACCCUAAAGAGAAGAAGAGUUUUCAGAUCAGUCGAAAUGAAAGAAACUGACCAAGACUCAGCCUCCGUCUUGUAAAACAACACAAAACAGUUUGUCAGCUUAGGAGCAUCGACUACCCUAUAGUGCAAAUCACAUCAACAAAUUACUCAACGCAAAAACAUUUUAAAUAUCACAUCGAUGAUGAAAGAAGCUAAACAUAUUUUAAAAAAUCAGUAUUACAUUGCAUUCAAUUUCAGAAACUGAAAGACAAAAAACAAAAAUGGAAAAAACAUUUUAGAAAACAAAGUAAUUUCUAGAAAACAAAAUGAAGUUUCAGAAAAACGAAACCCAGUGAGGAACCAGAAAAAUUAUGGGAUGUCCCUGAUUGGAUGAUGAUAUCCAGUAUUGCUGAUGCCAUAAUCCGAUCAGCAAUGUCCCAUAAUACCUCUUGCAGUUUCUUUUGUCUUUUGUUUUUAACAUUCCAUCUUGUUUUCUCAAAUGUUGUUUUUUCUUUUUUACAGAAACCGGAAAUGGUAGGUACGAUUGGACAUAGCUGAUUGGAUAACGACGUUUGUCCAUCUUUUCACUGACAGUUAUUUGGUAUGAAGCGAUACUGGAUACCAUUAACCUGUUAGUGAUUGGUACCUAUCUUUUCUGGUUUCU